CAAUAGCGUAUAUUAAAGUUGUUGCAGUUAAAAAGCUCGUAGUUGGAUUUCUGGUGGGAGCGAUCGGUCUGGCGCUUAGCGCGAGUACUUGCAUCGUCUCCGGCCAUCCUUGGGGAGAGUCUGUCUGGCAUUAAGUUGUCGGGCAGAGGAUCCUCAUCGUUUACUGUGAAAAAAUUAGAGUGUUCAAAGCAGGCUUAUGCCGUUGUAUAUAUUAGCAUGGAAUAAUAAGAUAGGACUUUGGUACUAUUUUGUUGGUUUGCGCACCAAAGUAAUGAUUAAUAGGGACAGUUGGGGGUAUUCGUAUUCCGUUGUCAGAGGUGAAAUUCUUGGAUUUACGGAAGACGAACUACUGCGAAAGCAUUUACCAAGGAUGUUUUCAUUAA
rnacentral:rRNA from 1 species